rfam:Myotis brandtii contig289170, whole genome shotgun sequence.
GGAAAAUGUCCUGUUUGAAAUGGAGAACAGGCUUAUCCAUGAUGAUCAUUGUUAAAAAUGGGUGAUUCCCUCCGUGCCAUGUCUUCAUCCUGGAUGGUUUUCAGUCCGCUGGUUCUAUCCUCAAGCGCAGGGACACCG